rnacentral:tRNA from 1 species
CCUUCGAUAACUCAGUUGGUUAAGCGGAGGACUGUAAGUUGAUAAUUGCAGGCAUCCUUAGGUCGCUGGUUCAAUUCUGGCUCGAAGGA